AGUAACGGCGAGUGAAGCGGGAAAAGCUCAAAUUUAAAAUCUGGUGGCUUUGGGCCACCCGAGUUGUAAUUUAGAGAAGCGUCUUCCGCGCUGGACCGUGCACAAUCCUCCUGGAAUGGAGCGUCAUAGAGGGUGAGAACCCCGUCUUGGGCACGGACUCCCGGUGUUUUGCGAUGCGCUCUCGACGAGUCGAGUUGUUUGGG
rnacentral:rRNA from 1 species